UGGAUUUGUUUGACGAUGAGAGAGAGCACGCUUGUCAGCAUCCAUGAAACAGUCAUGAGUGUUUACGAGCGUGCUCCCUCUCAUCGUCAUACAAUCGAUCUAAUCUUGUGCACCGGCCUUUCGCAUACUAACUAGUUGGUGAUCAUAAAUUGUGCUAGUUAGUAUUUAUAUGUGUCAAUCUCAAUGUUCCUUUCAUAAAGGCUCAUCAUUUGCCUUUUCAUGGUCGAUAUCC
rnacentral:lncRNA from 1 species